rnacentral:rRNA from 1 species
AGCCUGAACGCUGGCGGCGUGGCUAAGACAUGCAAGUCGUACGGGUGUAGCAAUACACCAGUGGCGGACGGGUGAGUAAUGUAUCGCUAACGUACCCCGAAAUCUGGGAUAGCCAUCCGAAAGGAUGGGUAAUACCAGGUAACAUCACCGGAAGGCAUCUUCUGGUGCUCAUAGGGACACCGUUUCGGGAGCGGGC